GCACCUAGGGACACGAUCAUUUAGGGACUUUUGAGAAGGCGCGAUGGUGGCGCCAAGUGACGACGGCAUGGGAUGGCGUGUUCGUUCUCGGCGUGAUCGUUCUCUGGCCCGCGCCGACCGCGCGUUGUUCAACAUUGCGUGUGUGAUUGUGCUUGCGUUGCUUGUGUAUUGGUUGUAGGUUCUGUGUUACUUGGCGGAAAGCCGUGAGUAGUGCUUGUGUGGCAGUGCGGCUUUGGCCUCGGUGAGCUCUGGCAAUACAGAACCUGCGUUGUGUGAUCCGUGUUCCUUGACAAUGCGGAGGUGGUGACGAUUGAAAUGUCGAAGUGCCGUAGCCCCUCGGCAGAGCAGUUCAGCGAACCGCGUCCGCCUUUGCAUAACGGACGUCGAGGGAUGUGCUGCUCUCUACAAGUCACAAAAAUGUGACUGCGUCGACCGCCCACGGUUCAGCGCUGAAUGUGUGGUUCAAGUACUGUGCUUGAAACGAAUGGCGCAGCUGUGGUGGCAGAACGCCAUGAGGCCUCACUUUGUGCUCUGUGCUUGAAAAGAGUGGUGCAGCUGUGGUGGCAGACCGCCGUGAAAUCCGUGCUGUGCAGACGCUCGAAAUAUCCAAUUCACGUCGGCGUCUUGGCAACGGCCAGUUCGCGAACCGGCGCCCUGGAGCGGCGCCUCUGUGCCCGCCCUAUUCGGUAGCGUCGACGCAAUAAUAUUUACGUAACCAGUCCUUGCUUGACAGACGCCGAUGGCGAAGGUGCUGCGAUAUGCUGCCGGCCAGCUUUGCAGUUUUUCUCACAUUAAAAACAUGUAGCAUAUAUACAUGCCUAGCAUGUGUUAUAAGACAAUGUCUACCAUGAGAAGAUUGUCAGGAGUGCCCCAGUACUGCUCCCAAUCUGGCAUUCCACGCUUUGCAUGCCCUCAGUAAGCAUGAUGACAAUAUGGGCCCAUUUUCUUCAAAGUGAGCUGCUAUUCUGUUUGCAAAAUGGGGAGGCUAGCUAAGCUGGUUUGUUCUUUGUGUUUUGUCAAUUUGAUGAGAAAUUCUUGGCAAUGUUCUUUUAAGGUGCUUUUAAAAAUAAGCCUACCAAAAAACUGCACCAUUGGCAGUGUUCUUUGGUGGUGACAGAAAAGUGAAACUGCAGACGACUAAGUUGGUCAUGCCCGCAUUUUUGGAAAAUUUAAGAGCAAUAUCGGCACCCACAACCAUACAACUGUGAUUGAGCCAUGGAUGGCCACAUGCUUUCUGCACAAAUUAUAGGCCCUUACGCAACAUCAGUGAAGAGCCAACAGGCCAACGUACUGUGUUCCCUUCGACCUAGGCAGUCUACAGUUCAUUGUUGUUGCAACAGCUGAUCGCCCCGCAAGUUCACAGCCUGUGCCUUCUGCUGCUACUACGGUCAACUCGUCACCCGUGCACAACACUUCUAGUUGCCCUAGUGGUAGUGCCGUUGCUUCUAAAUAUUGAUAUAGCCAAAACUGUGCUGCACGUUUAAUCGCCAGGGAUUGCAACCAAUAUUUGAGCGUAUCUAACAUUAUGUUGUCAUUGUCACUACCAUCCUUGGAAUCAUGCCAGAAUGUAGUGUCGCUUUGUCUGCUACAUAAAAUCAUUCAUAGUGAGCAGUCGUCCACCUUGCCUCUUGUUUGUCCAUCCCACACAUCUAGGUGCUUGCACAAUCGCCUUAGCGUCCAGCACAUUUUUGGUCGAACUAAUGCCUUUGACUUGUCUGCUUUGCCACGUGCCAUUAGGCAUUGGAAUGGUCUUCUCGAUAACAUUGCUGACAUUAACAAUACUGUAACCUUCAGACAAAAAAUCAGUAUGUUUGGGUAGUGUUCAAGUGUUUCUAUUUCUGGUGUAUGUAACUUUUUUAUGUAAUUAUGCAAUCGUACUAUUCACUGUAUAACCCAGCUUUCUAAUGGUAGAAUUUUACUUCACGAUUUUAUAAUUUCUGUUCUUUUCAAUUUAUUGCGUUGAUCUUGUGUCGCUGUUUAUAUUUCUAACGUUGUAUAACUUUUUCGCUCCUUUGUUAUGCGAUGCCCUCCCCCCUCCACGCAAUACUCCUUCUGGAGCCUGUGACGUAGAUGAAUACAUAAACCAGAUGGCACUACUGUUUCUUGUGAAAUCAAAAUUGUGUAUAUUGUUGUGGUUUUACUAAUAGAAGCUCUAAAUUGUAAA